UGGGAUAUAGCUCAGUGGUAGAGCAAAUGCUUACCACACAUGAAGCUCUGAGUUCAAUUCUCAGAAUCCCCC
rnacentral:tRNA from 1 species